CCCGCCGCGCCCGGGCCGAGUUCGAGAGCCGCUGGUGCUUCCCAGGCCGUCGCGCUCCUGGCCGCGCACCCAGCCAGGGACCCAGAGGCCCUCAGCCCCGGGCUCUGCGCGUACACUGAGGGCGCGGCGCAGCAGGACAGCAAGAUAAGGAAGCAGAGACUGAAGGGAGGAAUCCCCGCUUUCCGGGGAUGAUGGCGUUCGAGUUGGGUCUGUGAGGGAUGAAAUAGGAGUUGGCCAGAGGGAGAGAGGGACUCUAGGCCUCGAGAAGAGCACGUGCAGAGGUUCCGUGACACGAAAACGCCAGGUGGGUGCGGGGCUGGGAGGACAGGAGGCAGAAGGGUUUACGGCUCCACAUGGUCGCCGAAAUUUUAGGUCCCUGAGAGUAAAGGGGUGCAGCUGAUUUCAUCUAGAAAGCCCCUGGCCGGGAGGAGAGAACGAGCUUGCUUGCCUGGGGUUGCAAAGGAGUGGGUAGCUGAGACGGCCAGCACCCCAGCAUCCUGACUCAGGGCCAGACGCUUCACCCCAUUGGGCGGCGUCUGGAGGAGCAGACACAUCUCUUGUGGGUACCCUCGAAAGUGAAUCAUGGGUCGCAGGGAACUGUGGUCAAACCGUCUCUAGCUAGAUGCUAGAGAGCCAGCUCUGCAGGCUCAGGCUACUGUGAGACACGAAAGGAGGGACUCGCUGGGCACAGCCUCACCCUGGGGCAUGCCAGCAGGCCCUGCCCUCUGAGUGUUGGCAGACUUGAACAUCCCUAGGGAACGAGAGAAGUUGGGCAACGAUGGGAGAGCAGUGCAGGCCCUGGAGGUGACGAGUCUGUUGAGAUUCUGAUGGGGAUGGGUCAGAGGACGUAGAAAGCAGUGAAGGCCUAGACGCCCCCAGGUCAGUGUAGCCUGCUCUGCUUCCAGUGAGCUGGGCUCAGUCCCCCACAUGUCAUUGUCUUAGACGCCCAUGGCCUUUGCACAGGCCGAGCCUGAUGUUUGGAACAUCGUCGCCUCUAGGGGGCCUGGCUCCUAAUCAUGCAUCACCUCCUCCAGGAGAACUUUCCUGCCCCUACACUGAGUUCAAGCUUCUCAGACACCAGCCCCAGUUGAGUUCGAGUUAUAACCGUCACCAGUUAUCACACCAUCCUGUAAUCUGUGCGGUGCCCCUUAGGGCAGGACCUGGGUCCUAGAUGUCUCUGUACCUCUAGCCCCAAACCAGGCCUGACCUGUCUCUUGAAGGAGUAUUUGUGUUGAAGAUGGGUGGUAACGUUCAGCAAAAGCCAUGCCCAGGAGACAGGCACAGUACCCAUGGAGACCCAGGGCCAGCUGAUGACAGUGAUGAAUUCCCUUUAGAACUGGCGGACUCUUGGGUGCUUGGAGACACUAUAUAAAUAAGGAACUCUGGCUGUGUGCAUGGGAGAGUAUAUUAACAGGGCUUGGCCUGGCUGUGAGGUGCAGAGAUGCCGUUUCUCUCAGGCUGGGAACUUCAGGAAAGCCAGGACCAAGUCAAUCUUGAUCUAGGCUCUGUCUUCAGCAUCUAGAACCAGGCUUGGCACCAACUGAGUAGGACAAUUUGGCCAUCUACACACUGAUAUAUAUGCACAUCCUUGGACCCAGCAGUUGCACUCCAGUGUGCAACAGGAUGAAUGGUUACAGAUAUCAUGGUACAUUCAUAAGACAGAAUCCAAUGCAAUUCAAAGAAGGAGCUGGAUCUAUGUGUCCUGACAUUCCGUGGUUUUGCAGCCUUAGUGACAUCUGGAUAUGAGUUUGGAGCAGAUAAAUGCAAGAAUCUGGUAACAAUCAGCUUGAGGCAAAUUUGCAGGUUUAUUUUUAUGCUUCUUUUUAAUUAGUUAUUUAUAUCCAUAACCAAUAGCCCACUAAAUAUGAUAAACUAAUAUAUUAAUAGAAUUAAAAACUAAACAGGUCAGGUGUGGUGGCUUACGCCUGUAAUCCCAACACUUUGGGAG
rnacentral:lncRNA from 1 species